UGUAUUUUCUUUUUUCAUUUUGGCUAAACAAUUAGUGGGGUUUGGCUUUUUUUACCCCUGAGGUUAGAUUUCUUUGUUUUUUAAAUAGUUUGGACUGACGGGUGUGAGUUGGAUUGUGAAUCUCGUUGUGGCGUGUUCCUGAUUGUGUUUUUUAUGCUUGAGUGGCUUAAAGAUUUAUUUUUUAGCUUUGAUUUGUUGAUGGGUCACUUGUUCUGAGAUUUAGCAUCUGAUCUCACUGGUUUUCUUAUUCCAUUCUGUGCCUUUUAAGUGUUGAGUCCAUGCACUUUGGGAAUAGCUAGAUCAGAAGUGCCUGGCCCUGGAAUGGUUUUGUGUUUGCUUGAUCUGUGAAGAAAGAAGUGUAUAAUGAUGGAACUAAAAGGGAUGCAAUCAGAUGAAAUUUUUUAUUGCAUUGUAGGAUAGGAGAAAUGGGGCUGAGUGCCCUUUUCAUCUGAUCUUCCUCAGAAAUUUUAUCCUCUUGAAGAGAUAUGUGCAGAUUAAGGAAAAGGAAAAGGAAAAGGGGAUUUAUGUUUAUGUGUCAAAAUAAAAUGGCUAUAUAGUUUCAAAAUUUCCUGCAAAUUACCUUUUCAAUCAUUUUGAUGACUACUAAAUGCUUGGAUUUAAAUUUUUUGCCUAUCCUCAAGCUUUUCAUUUUUCCCUAUUCAUUUCAUUUUUGACAGCUGCAUUUUUCGAUUCUGCACACUGAUAAGCUUACCCGUGAAUGUAAUUGAAAGAUGAAAGAUGGAGACUGUAUGUGAUUGAAACUUUAUGAAUGUUGGUUAUAUAGUUUCAAAAUUUCCUGCAAAUUACCUUUUCAAUCAUUUUGAUGACCACUAAAUGCAUGGAUUUAAAAUUUUGCCUAUCCUCAAGCUUUUCAUUUUUGACAGCUGCAUUUUUCGUUUAUGCACACUGAUAAGCUUACCCGUGAAUGUAAUUGAAAGAUGAAAGAUGGAGACUGUAUGUGAUUGAAACUUUAUGAAUGCUCUUUUAUUAAUGUAAAAUAAUCAUCUGUGUGCAAUAAAAACUAAUAAACUUAUUACUUUGGGGUGCUUGGUAUAUAAUUGUUUCUUUUUUGUUGAGUUCUGAUAGCUCAUGGUUCUGUCUGCUGAUGCUAUUGGUUUGUUAUUUUCCAUGAAUGUUGGUUGUUGAAUUCCUUGUGGCAAAAAAAAUGUUAUGCUGCUAUAUAGGUUUAGUGACACCAAACAGACUGGAAAUGGGUCGUGGGGUCAGUGCUGGUGGUGGACAGAGUUCCUUGGAUUAUCUCUUUGGCAGUGGGGUACCUGCCAGCAGUGCAAAUGGUGCUCGCACUCAAAAUGCAAGUGCUCCUUCACCACCGGUUGAUAAGCAAAGUCCAGCACCAGCAGCAGCAGCAGCACCUGCACCUGCAGCAGCAGCAGCACCAGCACCUGCACCAGCACCAGCACCAGCACCAGCUGAUAAGCAAAUUCCAGCUGGAAUUCCUGGAAGUCUCAAAAACAAUUACCAUCGCGCUGAUGGGCAAAACUGUGGCAACUUUCUCACUGUACUGCCCUUCUCAACUUAUCUAUUAUGAUUAUUUUAAUUUUAAUUGUAUUAUGUAAUUAGCUCUUGCUAUUUUCUGCAUAUCUGCUCUAAAUAUACUUGUUUGUUUCAACUUACAUUAGCCUAGGAAAUACUAGAAAGCUUAAUAGUAAAGUAGACGAGGAUUGGAGUCUCCUCCUCUUGCUUACCAUUUCCUAGUAAUAGUUCAGUAAAAAGUAAUGAAGUUGCAAAGUUAGUUUUCACAAGGAUCCUAUUUCAGUAAAACAGUGUUUUGAAUUGCAAUAGUGCUACAGAAAGGAAACCAUGUAUAAAUUACUUAGAAUAAUUCAGAUUUCUAUUAGCAUAAAGCUAUAGUGAAAAAUUCAAAACUUUAAUGUAAGAAUAAUUCAGAUUUCUUGGCUCAGCUACUUAAGCAUGGUUCCUUGCUCUGUUGGUAGGAAGGAAACCAUGUAUAAAUUACUUAAGCAGGGAGUAACAGGAAUUCUGUCUCCUGUUCUUGCAUAUCCAUAAGAUAUAAUAUGCACUUUAUGCAUGUUUUCUUUAUUUUCUUGUUUAUCUUGUGUGGAUUCUGAGUACUUUCUUGGGUUUUGUCUGACA
rnacentral:lncRNA from 1 species